rnacentral:misc_RNA from 1 species
GAUGAAGAACGUAGCGAAAUGCGAUAAGUAAUGUGAAUUGCAGAAUUCAGUGAAUCAUCGAAUCUUUGAACGCACAUUGCGCCCGCCAGUAUUCUGGCGGGCAUGCCUGUUCGAGCGUCAUUUCAACCAUCAAGCCCCCGGGCUUGUGUUGGGGACCUGCGGCUGCCGCAGGCCCUGAAAAGCAGUGGCGGGCUCGCUGUCACACCGAGCGUAGUAGCAUACAUCUCGCUCUGGGCGUGCUGCGGGUUCCGGCCGUUAAACCACCUUUUAACCCAAGGUUGACCUCGGAUCAGGUAGGGAUACCCGCUGAACUUAAGCAUAUCAAUAAGCGGAGGA